rnacentral:tRNA from 1 species
GCAGGAGUGGUGGAAUGGCAGACACGCUAUCUUGAGGGGGUAGUGAGAGUAUUCUCGUGCGGGUUCAAGUCCCGCCUCCUGCACCA